CUCUCUUGAGGAAUUUUCUUAGAGGAGUUGUUUCCACAGUACAUUCGUUCACAUACACUCUGUUAUACAAGAGGAACGGUACACUGAGUGUGUGUAUAGGGUGUGUAGAGUGUGUGUGUUUGUAGUGUGUGUGUUUAGUCUACUCAGUAGUCUAGAAGUGGGACAAAUCAAAAUGAGGACAGCAAGUGUACAAGAGUAGGAAAACUGUAACGGCUCUCCUCUUCGUCUGAUGAUGAGGAAUAGGAAUUAUCGGACCAACACGCAGAGUGGUCCCCACACGCAUGCACCCACACGCAAAGGUGGUUUCAGCUCAGAGAGAUCAAGCCAACAUGUAAGUUCAAACCACCUGCUGGACAGUAGAAUACAGUGUGUAUGUGUGCGUGUAUGUGAUUGCGUUGGAAAGAUGUGUUCCUUCAAAGAAGUACAAUGAAGCCUUGUGUUACAGCC
rnacentral:lncRNA from 1 species